rnacentral:rRNA from 1 species
CGGGACGGGUGAGUAAUGUCUGGGAAACUGCCUGAUGGAGGGGGAUAACUACUGGAAACGGUAGCUAAUACCGCAUAACGUCGCAAGACCAAAGAGGGGGACCUUCGGGCCUCUUGCCAUCGGAUGUGCCCAGAUGGGAUUAGCUAGUAGGUGGGGUAACGGCUCACCUCGGCGACGAUCCCUAGCUGGUCUGAGAGGAUGACCAGCCACACUGGAACUGAGACACGGUCCAG